UUCGUGGCUAGGAGGAGGGAUAUUCAUGGCGAUUCAAUUAACAAGGCUCAAUUGAAGGACUUUUGGGACCAGAUUUCUGACUAGAGUUUUGAUUCCAGGCUCAGAACCGUCUUUGACAUGGUUGAUAAAGAUGCAGAUGGAAGAAUCACCAAGGAAGAAAUUAAAGAGACCAUCUGCCUUAGUGCCACAACAAACAAACUCUCAAACAUAUAGCAGCAGGCUAAAGAAUAUGCAGCUUUGAUCAUGGAAGAACUAGACCCUGAAGAGAUAGGAUUUAUCAUGCAAUGCCGUUUUCCCCUUUUGCACUUGAAAUUAAGCUGAUUGGCAUGAUUUUGUGAAUUUUGCAUUCAACUUUCUGUAAGCAGCGCAGUAACUGCGUGGAAAUUAGUUCUUGCUGGGAAUGAACAAGGGAAUGAACACUGAUACAAUUGUUAAGGCCAAGAGUUUUCUUGAUGGUGAUGAAGAUCAGCAUGAAAAAGAUGUGUUUGAGAAGAAUUUGAAGGUGCUUCAGAAUAUUUUAGUCAUUAUGCCGAGAUUAGAAGAUUAAUGAUUUUUUGUUUGUUAAGUUCUUUUCGGAUAUAGAGUGCAAACUUUGCAUUUUAAUUGAUAUGUGAUACAAGU